AUUCUCAAAUACAAGUCUUUUUAGAGAUUCCCAUACGAACUGCGUACGGAUGUACAUAGACAUAUUUUAGAAUAUGAUUCGCUCAUUUGCUUCAUAUGCAGUCCGCAUUGAUUGAAAUCUCUAAAAAGACUUGCAUUUAGGAACGGGGGAGUAGUACCGAUGACCAAUAAUAAAUAUAUAAACCAAGUUAAACCCCUGCUCUGCUCUAAAAGAUAUGCUAGCUUAGAGCAAUUGCCAUGAAAACUAUCCAACCAGGUCAGAGUCCGAAUCUGCGGCUAGAUCACAGGACGCUAGACUAAGAUUACUUUCUACAUAGACCUACAUGUAGUUUCCUUUCAGGAAAACGAGAGAAUCAAUGUACUCCCUCCGUAAACUAAUAUAAGAGCAUUUAGAUCAUUAUUUUAAUUAUCUAAACGCUCUUAUAUUAGUUUACAGAGGGAGUACCUCCUAGAGCCCUAAAUUAAGCAAGAGAGGGUGGUGGUACUACUAGUCUACUACUAUUGCUAGUGCAGUGCAGCCCAAAGACAAAAACAUGUUCCAUUCCAAUCGAUUCACACAUGAGCCCCAACCAGCCCGCCCCAAAGGAAAGAACAGUCUCUUUUUCUGAACUUGCCUCCUCCCUCUCCUUUUUACCCCUCUCUCUCAUCAUGCAUGCGAUGUGGGUAUGGCAUGGCAUGGCACCCCCCUCACGCCACAUGGCCAGAGGAACAAGAGCCAAAAAACAGUCCCCUCUGUAUCCCACUCACCACCAC
rnacentral:lncRNA from 1 species